rnacentral:rRNA from 1 species
GACGAACGCUGGCGGCGUGCUUAACACAUGCAAGUCGAACGGAAAGGCCCUGCUUUUGUGGGGUGCUCGAGUGGCGAACGGGUGAGUAACACGUGAGUAACCUGCCCUAGACUUUGGGAUAACUUCAGGAAACUGGGGCUAAUACCGGAUAGGAGCUCCUGCUGCAUGGUGGGGGUUGGAAAGUUUCGGCGGAUGGGGAUGGACUCUCGGCUUAUCAGCUUGUUGGUGGGGUAGUGGCUUACCAAGGCUUUGACGGGUAGCCGGCCUGAGAGGGUGACCGGCCACAAUGGGACUGAGAUACGGCCCAGACUGCUACGGGAGACAGCAGUGGGGAAUAUUGCACAAUGGUCGGAAGCCUGAUGCAGCAACGCCGCGUGCGGGAUGACGGCCUUCGGGUUGUAAACCGCUUUCGCCUGUGACGAAGCGUGAGUGACGGUAAUGGGUAAAGAAGCACCGGCUAACUACGUG